UUGUGUGUCAGACACAGUUCUAGACCCUGUAGUGGAAGCAAACUACUUUCUUAUUGGAGCUUAUAUAUUUGUGGUCCGGAUAAUCAGAAAAAAAACAAUAUAUUUCAGAUUGGAAUAUACUUAUGCUCUAGAGAAAAUGAAGUGAGUGCGGGGCGCAUAAUGGUGAUUGCAGGUGAAAGGCAGCACUCGCUGGGGUGGCUGCGGAGGGCCCUCUGUGGGGUGACAUUUGACCUGAGAUCGGAGAGUUAACUACUGCACGGAGGUUUCGGGAGAAAGCCUUUCAAUAUGUCCAUUUUUUUUACAUUCUCUCUCAUUGCUUUAAUGAUUAAGAAAUGCCAGCCCCUGCCUUUCUUUCUUGUUUUUUAAUGGCUUCAUUUAAAAAUAAUUAUUCUUUAAUUUAUUGGAAUUCAUUUUUUUAAAUGCAAGGUAGGAAUAAAAUGUAUUUUUUCCCAAAUAUUUUACCUGUUAUUCUGAAAUCUAAAAGUAAGUUGAUUGAAGCGCCCACUUUUCUUCAUGGAUUUGUAAUUAUAUGAAGUUAGGUUUUAGAAAAGUUGGUAGGAUA
rnacentral:lncRNA from 1 species